rnacentral:misc_RNA from 1 species
UGGUUCCGGCAUCGAUGAAGAACGCAGCGAAAUGCGAUACGUAAUGUGAAUUGCAAAUUCAGUGAAUCAUCGAGUCUUUGAACGCACAUUGCGCCCCCUGGUAUUCCGGGGGGCAUGCCUGUCCGAGCGUCAUUGCUGCCCUCAAGCCCGGCUUGUGUGUUGGGCCCCGUCCUCCGAUUCCGGGGGACGGGCCCGAAAGGCAGCGGCGGCACCGCGUCCGGUCCUCGAGCGUAUGGGGCUUUGUCACCCGCUCUGUAGGCCCGGCCGGCGCUUGCCGAUCAACCCAAAUUUUUAUCCAGGUUGACCUCGGAUCAGGUAGGGAUACCCGCUGA